ACCCCGGGCCCCCAAAGCUGAGCACACAAACCUAACCACUGGGCCACUGGGCCACCCCGAAGCAGUGUUAAUGAGGGAGAGUUUGGUACUCUGUCUUUUAUGACGUUCCUGCUACUGAAAGGAUUCCAGAAGGGCUUGGUAUUUAUGACCCAACCAUUAUGACCCAACCAGCGCCAUUUUGUCAUUUUAAGAUAUACUCCAGUCCUCAGAACACCCUACAGUGGCCAUUCCCACCGAAGCACACGUGGAGAUGUCCUAUCACUUGUGUGGCAAUGUGUUUGUCUGGGAUGGCGACAUGCAUUUUUCAGUUUCCUGAAAUACUCGUUUGUCAAUCUUCAGCUUUUGAACUAUUUUGCCUACAGAAAGACCCCGCUGCAGUGCCCCCUGCUGGUUCAGGAGGAUGCGGCCGCCCCCGGCUGGUGUCUGUCUGCAGCAGAGCUUACCGGCUGCUCUGAAGGCAGAGAGGACUCUGGAGCGAACGUGCAGAGCACGUGUGAUCUGGGAGAAAUGUAUUUCCCACGGGGACAGGGGCAGCUCUGCUGUCUGUAAAGGUGACUGAUAAAGUAUUUUUUUACAUCUACAUAGCACUUUACACGUCCUUUAUUGUGCAUGAAAGAAAGAAAAAUCUGAUGUCAACAGACUGUGGAUAUCUUCUCUUCUUACAGAAAGUGAUCCAUCACGCUGUAAUGAGAGGUAGGACAUCUGAUUGAAUUUUCACCUUUGCUGUGGCAAGAGCUUCCGUGGGUCCUGUACCGGACGCAGCCUGUGCUCUCCCCUCUUCUAGAUGUCGCCACCACAGCAACCAGUUCUGCACGGUGAAACCGUCAGCACCUCCCUGCGCCUCUUGAUUCCUGCCCUGGGGCCUCUGAUGCUGGGCUGUGGGAGGCCCAUGGGUACCUGUUCAGCACUCCCACAGGAGCACC
rnacentral:lncRNA from 1 species